rnacentral:rRNA from 1 species
GAUGAACGCUGGCGGCGUGCCUAAUACAUGCAAGUCGAGCGAACAGACGAGGAGGUUGCUCCUCUGACGUUAGCGGCGGACGGGUGAGUAACACGUGGAUAACCUACCUAUAAGACUGGGAUAACUUCGGGAAACCGGAGCUAAUACCGGAUAAUAUAUUGAACCGCAUGGUUCAAUAGUGAAAGACGGUUUUGCUGUCACUUAUAGAUGGAUCCGCGCCGCAUUAGCUAGUUGGUAAGGUAACGGCUUACCAAGGCGACGAUGCGUAGCCGACCUGAGAGGGUGAUCGGCCACACUGGAACUGAGACACGGUCCAGACUCCUACGGGAGGCAGCAGUAGGGAAUCUUCCGCAAUGGGCGAAAGCCUGACGGAGCAACGCCGCGUGAGUGAUGAAGGUCUUCGGAUCGUAAAACUCUGUUAUUAGGGAAGAACAAAUGUGUAAGUAACUAUGCACGUCUUGACGGUACCUAAUCAGAAAGCCACGGCUAACUACGUG